UACAGAGGUCCCAAGCGUUGUUCGGAUUUACUGGGCGUAAAGGGUGCGUAGGUGGUUAGGUAAGUCUGAUGUGAAAUCUCCGGGCUCAACCCGGAAAUGGCAUUGGAUACUAUUUGACUAGAGGGUUGGAGGGGGGACUGGAAUACUUGGUGUAGCAGUGAAAUGCGUAGAUAUCAAGUGGAACACCGGUGGCGAAGGCGGGUCUCUGGGCCGAUACUGACGCUGAGGAGCGAAAGCGUGGGGAGCGAACAGG
rnacentral:rRNA from 1 species